rnacentral:rRNA from 1 species
AUCAGCUUGUUGGUGAGGUAAUGGCUCACCAAGGCGACGACGGGUAGCCGGCCUGAGAGGGCGACCGGCCACACUGGAACUGAGACACGGUCCAGACUCCUACGGGAGGCAGCAGUGGGGAAUAUUGCACAAUGGGCGCAAGCCUGAUGCAGCGACGCCGCGUGGGGGAUGAAGGCCUUCGGGUUGUAAACCCCUUUCAGCAGGGAAGAAGCGAAAGUGACGUUACCUGCAGAAGAAGCGCCGGCUAACUACGUGCCAGCAGCCGCGGUAAUACGUAGGGCGCAAGCGUUGUCCGGAAUUAUUGGGCGUAAAGAGCUCGUAGGCGGUUCGUCGCGUCUGCUGUGAAAGCCCGAGGCUCAACCUCGGGUCUGCAGUGGGUACGGGCGGACUAGAGUGUGGUAGGGGAGACUGGAAUUCCUGGUGUAGCGGUGGAAUGCGCAGAUAUCAGGAGGAACACCAAUGGCGAAGGCAGGUCUCUGGGCCACAACUGACGCUGAGGAGCGAAAGCGUGGGGAGCGAACAGGAUUAGAUACCCUGGUAGUCCACGCCGUAAACGGUGGGCACUAGAUGUGGGGCUCUUUCCAUGAGUUCCGCGUCGCAGCUAACGCAUUAAGUGCCCCGCCUGGGGAGUACGGCCGCAAGGCUAAAACUCAAAGGAAUUGACGGGGGCCCGCACAAGCGGCGGAGCAUGCGGAUUAAUUUGAUGCAACGCGAAGAACCUUACCAAGGCUUGACAUAUACCUUCUAUCCUCAGAGAUGGGGAGUGCUUUUAGCGGGGUAUACAGGUGGUGCAUGGUUGUCGUCAGCUCGUGUCGUGAGAUGUUGGGUUAAGUCCCGCAACGAGCGCAACCCUCGUCCUAUGUUGCCAGCACGUAAUGGUGGGGACUCAUAGGAGACUGCCGGGGUCAACUCGGAGGAAGGUGGGGAUGACGUCAAAUCAUCAUGCCCCUUAUGUCUUGGGCUUCACGCAUGCUACAAUGGCCGGUACAAAGGGCUGCGAUACCGUAAGGUGGAGCGAAUCCCAAAAAGCCGGUCUCAGUUCGGAUUGAGGUCUGCAACUCGACCUCAUGAAGUUGGAGUCGCUAGUAAUCGCAGAUCAGCAACGCUGCGGUGAAUACGUUCCCGGGCCUUGUACACACCGCCCGU